AUGCUAUAAUGCAGUCGAGCGACUGAUUAGAAGCUUGCUUCUAUGACGUUAGCGGCGGAYGGGUGAGUAACACGUGGGCAACCUGCCUGUAAGACUGGGAUAACUUCGGGAAACCGAAGCUAAUACCGGAUAGGAUCUUCUCCUUCAUGGGAGAUGAUUGAAAGAUGGUUUCGGCUAUCACUURCAGAUGGGCCCGCGGUGCAUUAGCUAGUUGGUGAGGUAACGGCUCACCAAGGCAACGAUGCAUAGCCGACCUGAGAGGGUGAUCGGCCACACUGGGACUGAGACACGGCCCAGACUCCUACGGGAGGCAGCAGUAGGGAAUCUUCCGCAAUGGACGAAAGUCUGACGGAGCAACGCCGCGUGAGUGAUGAAGGCUUUCGGGUCGUAAAACUCUGUUGUUAGGGAAGAACAAGUACAAGAGUAACUGCUUGUACCUUGACGGUACCUAACCAGAAAGCCACGGCUAACUACGUGCCAGCAGCCGCGGUAAUACGUAGGUGGCAAGCGUUAUCCGGAAUUAUUGGGCGUAAAGCGCGCGCAGGCGGUUUCUUAAGUCUGAUGUGAAAGCCCACGGCUCAACCGUGGAGGGUCAUUGGAAACUGGGGAACUUGAGUGCAGAAGAGAAAAGCGGAAUUCCACGUGUAGCGGUGAAAUGCGUAGAGAUGUGGAGGAACACCAGUGGCGAAGGCGGCUUUUUGGUCUGUACUGACGCUGAGGCGCGAAAGCGKGGGGGAGCAAACAGGAUAGAUACCUGGUAGUCCMCSCCGUAAACGAUGAGUGCUAGUGUARAGGUUUCGCUUCGUGCUGCAGCUACGCAUAG
rnacentral:rRNA from 2 species